rnacentral:tRNA from 1 species
GCGCACGUGGCGGAACUGGUAGACGUGCAGGUCUCAGAAGCCUGUGGGAGUUGUCCCGUGGGAGUUCGAUUCUCCCCGUGCGCACCA